AGGUAACACUGACGUAAUUCAGGUAAAGGAUACCACGUUCCGCCUGAGGGGUCCGGAUACGGGGCGGGAGACGAGACAACGAACGUUUGCUCUCUUGGUGUUUGUCUUCUUUUGAACUGAGCGCGGUCGGCUCAGCCGGCGCCAUCUCGCCAACGGUCGUUGGCGGCUCCGUCUCCUCUCAGCCCCUGCAAGAAACUGCUCUCGAGCCCCCAUCGGACCCGACCGGCUCUGGCGUCUCGCCUCCACCGCUGAGACCCAAAAGGAUGAGCGACAGAAAAUCAAAUUCCUGAGCAGCAUCUGCGUACUGUGCAAAUGCAAGGACACGUCACUCGACUUGAAUACUUUCUGCCGAGAAAACCAGCUGGCAGAGAAUGUCCAGCACUGUGGAGACAGCACUGGAAGGCAAAACAGAGAGCAUCCUGAACUCCUGCUUCAACAGUGUCUUCUUUUUGCCUCCGGAACUGGACGUACCAGAAGAGGAGCAAACUCUCUACACUAAGACCAUGAUUGCCAUGAACGUCAUGCUGCGAGCCUUGGUGCACAACUGCCCCAGCUCCAGAAUGAGGGAGGAGAUGUGCAGCAUCUUUCAGGUCUGGCAGCUACGGAGAGUGGGGUCACUAGGAGGGUUCCACACCGCGAGGGAUGCGCGUGUCGCUCCUGCAGUGGCACAGACCCUCCUUGCCCCAGACAGUCCUACAAAGGAUCCCAUCCCUGCUGCUCUGCUCUGCUCUGCUCUUCCUUCCCAGUGGGGAAGAUCCCAGAGCUCCUGCUGGAGCCACGCAAGCUCCCAGGGAACAGCCCUGACAGAGGAGAUGGAAAAGUACGUGCAUCUCCGGGAGAAGCUGCAGGAUACUAAUUUUGCAUGCGAUAACUUGUGCAGUCCCAGUGAUUGUGCCAAGGCGUUUGGAGGAUACCUCAGGCCUGCUGAGAGGAUGGACGUCGUCCUCACAGCCCUUGAAGCGAUGGUUGACUCCAACAUCUAUGACAAGGAGGUGGCCUGCAGUGUGAUGGCCGUGGCCAUGGAAGACCACGCCUUCUGGCUAUCAGAUGUAAGCACCUUGGAGAAGGUUUUGAAGGAGCUGACCAAGGGCUCACAGCUGAGCAGGCUGCUAGAAGGAGUCACAGAAGACACGUGCAUCCUCUUCUUGGCUCUAAUGGCAAAGAGUGAAGAUAAUGAAGACUUUUUGGGUGACCUACGCCACCUCGAGACUUAUCUGAAGCAUCCAAGUGUGGAGAUGCGCACGGUGGUGCUCAGAGGGCUUGUCAUACUCUCCGAGACACGGGAGAAGGCAAGAAAAAUGGAGGUCGUGCUGCCAGAGAUCAUGGCCACCCUGCAGGCUGCCAGCGCAGACGUCAAGAUGAAGGCCCUGUUUGUCAUCCAAAACAUCAUGGGCCACGUGAAGAGGAAGGAGGCCAGCUCCAUCGCUGUGCAGCACGCUGAGGAGCUCCUGCCUCUCUUUGUCGAUGUAAGUGAGGCUGCUGAGGGAGGCAGAGCCCUCGCAGGGGCACUCUGUAGUGUCAGUGCCUCUGGCCUGGCUGUGUGGGCAGCACUGGCACUCGCACUGGGCCCUCCGCCCCCCUCGCUCCUCCUGGGGCUCCUUCCGGGCAGGGGAACAGCUGUGGGCCCUCGGAGAGCCCUGUGCCCAGCAUCUGCUCCCCGCAGUUGGCUUCCGGCCCUCCAUGCCUCCUCCGCUGCCUGUGCAAGGCCAGCCAGGCCUGGUCCCCACGCACGGUGCAGGAAGGUGGAGGCCUGCAGGCGCUGCGUGCCAUGGAGGCGGUGUGAAGGCGGUCCGGCCUCCUCGUGCUAAAAUUCUCUGCCUCUCCUCUGCUCCUGGCUGCAGAACAGUACAGCACAUUCCUCUGCACUCCCAAGGCCAUGGCUGUCCAAGCUGCUGGCUUGGCUGAGUGAAGAGGAAUUGUCUUAGGCCACAUAUAUGUACGCAGGUUUAAUGAAUGGAAGUAACAAACCUUCUUUGUGUAUAUGCAUGUAUUUAAUAAAAUCUUUUUAAAUAUUCAUAUUUGUGGGCAACAAUCC
ensembl:lncRNA